GUGAACGCUGGCGGUAGGCCUAACACAUGCAAGCCGAACGGCAGCACCGUAAGAGCUUGCUCUUACGGGUGGCGAGUGGCGGACGGGUGAGGAAUACAUUGGAAUCUACUUUUUCGUGGGGGAUAACGUAGGGAAACUUACGCUAAUACCGCAUACGACCUACGGGUGAAAGCAGGGGAUCUUCGGACCUUGCGCGAUUGAAUGAGCCGAUGUCGGAUUAGCUAGUUGGCGGGGUAAAGGCCCACCAAGGCGACGAUCCGUAGCUGGUCUGAGAGGAUGAUAAGCCACACUGGAACUGAGACACGGUCCAGACUCCUACGGGAGGCAGCAGUGGGGAAUAUUGGACAAUGGGCGCAAGCCUGAUCCAGCCAUACCGCGUGGGUGAAGAAGGCCUUCGGGUUGUAAAGCCCUUUUGUUGGGAAAGAAAAGCAGCAGGUUAAUACCCCGCUGUUCUGACGGUACCCAAAGAAUAAGCACCGGCUAACUUCGUG
rnacentral:rRNA from 1 species